AUAUGGGUCAAGGUUACGUAUUUUGUUGAGUUAGAGUUACAAUGCUUUUAGAAGUUCUCGCGCUGUAAGAUGCAAACAUCAUUACAACAGAAUUAAAUUAUAGAGAUUUAUAUUUGGAACACUUUUUUGUAAGUGUCCUAUUAAUUUAUACUAAAAUUUUUUAAAAAAAUCUACUAAGAACUAAAUAUAAAAUCCAAUUCAAUCAAAAAUAAAAAAUUACUCUACUCUGAUCAACCCACCCCACCCAGCCGAAUAUGCAUGCAUC
rnacentral:lncRNA from 1 species